rnacentral:rRNA from 1 species
GACGAACGCUGGCGGCGUGCUUAACACAUGCAAGUCGAACGGAAAGGCCCUGCUUGCAGGGUACUCGAGUGGCGAACGGGUGAGUAACACGUGGGUGAUCUGCCCUGCACUUCGGGAUAAGCCUGGGAAACUGGGUCUAAUACCGGAUAGGAGCCAUUUUUAGUGUGAUGGUUGGAAAGUUUUUUCGGUGUAGGAUGAGCUCGCGGCCUAUCAGCUUGUUGGUGGGGUAAUGGCCUACCAAGGCGGCGACGGGUAGCCGGCCUGAGAGGGUGGACGGCCACAGUGGGACUGAGAGACGGCCCAGACUCCUACGGGAGGCAGCAGUGGGGAAGAUUGAACAAUGGGCGCAAGCCGGAUGCAGCGACGCCGCGUGGGGGAUGACGGCCUUCGGGUUGUAAACUCCUUUCGCUAGGGACGAAGCUUUUUGUGACGGUACCUAGAUAAGAAGCACCGGCUAACUACGUG